CACCAACACGUCCGCACGACGUCUGCCGUUCCAGUGGGUCUACGGCUAUAGCUCAUAAUUCACGCUUCCCUACGUCUUUCCACGUCCAGUAUCUUUCCAUG